rnacentral:rRNA from 1 species
GACGUAGGGGGCGAGCGUUGUCCGGAUUUAUUGGGCGUAAAGAGCUCGUAGGCGGCUCGUUGCGUCGGCUGUGAAAACCCGCAGCUCAACUGUGGGCUUGCAGCCGAUACGGGCGGGCUGGAGUUCGGUAGGGGAGACUGGAAUUCCUGGUGUAGCGGUGAAAUGCGCAGAUAUCAGGAGGAACACCGGUGGCGAAGGCGGUUCUCUGGGCCUGUACUGACGCUGAGGAACGAAAGCGUGGGGAGCAAACAGG